rnacentral:rRNA from 1 species
GAUGAACGCUGGCGGCGUGCCUAAUACAUGCAAGUCGAGCGAACGGACGAGAAGCUUGCUUCUCUGAUGUUAGCGGCGGACGGGUGAGUAACACGUGGAUAACCUACCUAUAAGACUGGGAUAACUUCGGGAAACCGGAGCUAAUACCGGAUAAUAUUUUGAACCGCAUGGUUCAAAAGUGAAAGACGGUCUUGCUGUCACUUAUAGAUGGAUCCGCGCUGCAUUAGCUAGUUGGUAAGGUAACGGCUUACCAAGGCAACGAUGCAUAGCCGACCUGAGAGGGUGAUCGGCCACACGGGAACUGAGACACGGUCCAGACUCCUACGGGAGGCAGCAGUAGGGAAUCUUCCGCAAUGGGGGAAAGCCUGACGGAGCAACGCGGCGUGAGGGAUGAAGGUCUUCGGAUCGUAAAACUCUGUUAUUAGGGAAGAACAGAUGUGUAAGUAACUGUGCACAUCUUGACGGUACCUAAUCAGAAAGCCACGGCUAACUACGUG